CUCUAGGACCAAACCAAUCUGAACAUUCCAGAUCUCAAAAGCUAAGCAAUGUUGGUCCUGAUUAGUAUUUCAAUGGAAGAUCACUUAAUAUCAGGAGCUUUAGAGA
rnacentral:rRNA from 1 species